rnacentral:rRNA from 1 species
CAUGGCGAACGGGUGAGUAACACGUGGGCACCUGCCCCCAGAUGGGGUAUAAGGGAGGGAAACCUCCGGUAAACCCCCAUGGGCGCAACAAGUGCCUGGGAAAAGCCUUAUGGGCUGUCUGGGGAUGGGCCUGCGGCUGAUUAGCUAGUUGGUGAGGGUAAUAGCCUACCAAGGCGAGGAUCAGUAGCUGGCCUGAGAGGGCGGCCAGCCACAUUGGGACUGAGACACGGCCCAGACUCCUACGGGAGGCAGCAGUGGGGAAUCUUCUGCAAUGGGCGCAAGCCUGACAGAGCGACGCCGCGUGAAGGACUAAGGCCAUAUUGGCCGUAAACUUCUUUGCACGGGCACAGGAAGACUGACCGCCCGGGAAGCAAGCAUCGGCUAACUCCGUGCCAGCAGCCGCGGUAAUACGAGGGAUGCAAGCGUUAUCCGGAUUUACUGGGCGUAAAGCGUCUGUAGGUGGUUCGGUGUGUCUGUUGUCGAAACGCAGGGCUUAACCCUGUGGGGCAUUUGGAUACUAUCGAACUGGAGGGCGGUAGGGGUGGGGGGAAUCCCUCGAGGAGCCGUGAAAUGCUUAGAUACGUGGGAGAAGGCCGGAAGCGAAAGCUCCCCACUGGGCCGCGCCUGACACUGAGAGACGAAAGCUAGGGGAGCAAAUGGGAUUAGAGACCCCAGUAGUCCUAGCCGUAAACUAUGGGCACUCGAUGCUGCGCGUUAUCCGUGCAGUAUCCCAGUUAACGCGAUAAGUGCCCCGCCUGAGGAGUACGCUUGCAAGGGUGAAACUCAAAGGAAUUGACGGGGGCUCGCACAAGCGGUGGAGCAUGUGGUUUAAUUCGAUGCAACGCGAAGAACCUUACCAGGGCUUGACAUGGUGCCCGCGCGCCCCUAACGGGGUUCCGCUAGGCAGGCACACACAGGUGGUGCACGGCUGUCGUCAGCUCGUGUCGUGAGGUGUCGGGUUAAGUCCCGCAACGAGCGCAACCCCCAUCAGGAGCCGAGAGGCUACAGAGACUGCCACAUACCGAACUCUGGUUCGGAAAUGGAGGAAGGUGGGGAUGACGCCAAGUCAUCAUGCCCCUUAUGCCCUGGGCUACACACGUGCUACAAUGGUCGGGUCAAUGGUUGGCAGGCGUUUCAAAUCACCACGGAACACACAGGGAGCCUGUGCCUUUCCGCGAGGGGAGGUUUGCCUAAACCCGGCCCCACUUCGGAUCGUGGGCUGCAACUCGCCCGCGUGAAGCCGGAAUCGCUAGUAAUCGCCGGUCAGCAAUACGGCGGUGAAUACGUUCCCGAGCCUUGUACACACCGCCCGUCA